CCUACGGGAGGCAGCAGUGGGGAAUCUUGCGCAAUGGGCGAAAGCCUGACGCAGCAACGCCGCGUGCGGGAAGAAGGCUCUCGGGUUGUAAACCGCUUUCAGCAGGAACGAAAAUGACGGUACUUGCAGAAGAAGGUGCGGCCAACUACGUGCCAGCAGCCGCGGUGACACGUAGGCACCAAGCGUUGUCCGGAUUUAUUGGGCGUAAAGAGCUCGUAGGCGGCUCGGUAAGUCGGGUGUGAAAACUUUGGGCUUAACCCAAAGCCUGCAUCCGAUACUGCUGUGACUAGAGUUCGGUAGGGGAGCGGGGAAUUCCUAGUGUAGCGGUGAAAUGCGCAGAUAUUAGGAGGAACACCGGUGGCGAAGGCGCCGCUCUGGGCCGAUACUGACGCUGAGGAGCGAAAGCGUGGGUAGCAAACAGGAUUAGAUACCCUGGUAGUCCACGCCGUAAACGUUGGGCACUAGGUGUGGGUUUCAACCAACGAAAUCCGCGCCGUCGCUAACGCAUUAAGUGCCCGCCUGGGGAGUACGGCCGCAGGUUAAACUCAAGGAAUUGACG
rnacentral:rRNA from 1 species